AUCAGCCGGAACUCGUGAAUCCCGAGGUCAGGGAACGCGGAUGGAAUCGGAGAACACCGUUCUGGAAGACACGUGACGCAAUAGCCACCGUCAAAUCAUCCCGAGCUACGAUCGGAGGUCGUCUGGGUGAAAGGAGAGGCACGAGUGUCGAACAAGCCCCGUAAAGGGGCUUUGUUUUUGGUCUCAUUGGCAGGUAAUCAGGCGUACACGGUAUUCGGAGCGGGUUCCAUCAUUCUCCCGGCAGCUAGAGGACGGCACGGUGAGCGUUUGUCUGGAUCGAAUCUUCCGGGCAAGCCAAGGCCAGCGAGAGGCAGGCGGAACAAGAUCGACGAUCGUCGGGCGCGUCCACUCGGUGCAACGAGAAGGCAAUCGUCAGCGGCACAGCCAGGCGCCGAUCGAGGAAAGAUCCGGCCGCUCAACGGUGGUCAGCAGCUCAGACAAUCGAGCAGAAAUCCGCCAACAAUUCCCAGGGAGGAAUUGCGAGGACCACUUCCUCCAGAAGACCACGCACGGCGUGUUCAUCUAGGGCCCUACGCCCGCGACACCGGCGACACGUUGCAGGCAGGCAACUGGGUCGGAACAAUCGACCACCGACGGAGGGCGGAUGA